AAAAAUUUGUUAAUUUCCAAAUCCAGCAUCAACAGAGUGACAGUUUUUACUCGACAGCCAAAUCUCUGGAAGAAAAAAGAAAAGACAGGAAAAAACCCUAAAAUAACCUUACAAAAUACCCAAGCCUUCCAGCAUCAUCAAGGGCAAACACUGUCUGCAGAAACCAAUUUCAUGCCAAAUCUCCUAACUCUGAUACAAAAGAAAGUGUCUCCGCUUCAAGUGAUGAUUCAACAUCAUCCAACAACUACUUUCUUGUCUUUCCUUUGCCCUCUUCUCAAGCUUUUCUCUGUAAGUGUCUUUAACAACUCCUAGCUAAAGAAAUGAACAUUUUUAAUUUCACUUUGUAAACAUUAGACUUCAAAAUUGGAUGAUGUAGAAACUUUCAUGUUAUAUACUAAACUGGAUUGGGACAUGAAAAUUUUGAUCUUGGCUAUAAAGGGAGAUGAUCCCUAUCGAGAACGGAAUUAUACUUUGAAGGAGGGUCUGAGAGGCGAUGCAAGAUUGAGCUAAGAUCUUUCUGUAGAGGUGAGGAAUAACCUUACAUUGAUUUCAUUUUGCUUGGUUAUGUCAUGUCGAUGUAGGUUGUAGCCUUGUAGGGGAGGUAAAUUGAUGUCUUAUUAUCCCAAGAAAGUCUCACCGUUCACAUUUGAACUUUCAAUUGUAAGCAAAGCUCUUAAGCUCACAUUCCCUUCAAAUUUCAUGGGAUUUAUGUGUUGGCACGAAGAAGAUUGUGGCAUUUUUCGACCCUUUUUCUGCUAAACUUAUGAUCAGCCAAAUUAAGAGUA